UACGGAGGGUGCGAGCGUUGUCCGGAAUCACUGGGCGUAAAGGGCGCGUAGGUGGCGCGGCAAGUCAACGGUGAAAGCUCGAUGCUCAACAUCGAGUCGGCCGUCGAUACUGCCGCGCUGGAGCACUGUAGAGGCUCAUGGAAUUCCGGGUGUAGCGGUGGAAUGCGUAGAGAUCCGGAAGAACACCGGUGGCGAAGGCGGUGAGCUGGGCAGUUGCUGACACUGAGGCGCGACAGCGUGGGGAGCAAACAGG
rnacentral:rRNA from 1 species